rnacentral:lncRNA from 1 species
UCCUAAGGUGGAGGUGGUGCAUAGCUUUCACGAGCUCGAGGUUCAAGCGGCGAGGACUUCGAAGGGCUUGGUUGGAGCUCCGAAUAUCUGGAGACACAAGGUGGAGUGAGAUACCAAGGAAGGAUUGAAGACUAUGGUGGAAGAGUAGUUUCAGGGCAUUGGAUCGACUCAAUCUAGGAAUGGGUCAAUCCAGUCACAGGGUGUGCCAGAG